rnacentral:rRNA from 1 species
UGGGGAAUAUUGCACAAUGGGGGAAACCCUGAUGCAGCGACGCCGCGUGGAGGAAGAAGGUCUUCGGAUUGUAAACUCCUGUUGUUGGGGAAGAUAAUGACGGUACCCAACAAGGAAGUGACGGCUAACUACGUGCCAGCAGCCGCGGUAAAACGUAGGUCACAAGCGUUGUCCGGAAUUACUGGGUGUAAAGGGAGCGCAGGCGGGAAGACAAGUUGGAAGUGAAAUCUAUGGGCUCAACCCAUAAACUGCUUUCAAAACUGUUUUUCUUGAGUAGUGCAGAGGUAGGCGGAAUUCCCGGUGUAGCGGUGGAAUGCGUAGAUAUCGGGAGGAACACCAGUGGCGAAGGCGGCCUACUGGGCACCAACUGACGCUGAGGCUCGAAAGUGUGGGUAGCAAACAGGAUUAGAUACCCUGGUAGUCCACACCGUAAACGAUGAUUACUAGGUGUUGGAGGAUUGACCCCUUCAGUGCCGCAGUUAACACAAUAAGUAAUCCACCUGGGGAGUACGACCGCAAGGUUGAAACUCAAAGGAAUUGACGGGGGCCCGCACAAGCAGUGGAGUAUGUGGUUUAAUUCGACGCAACGCGAAGAACCUUACCAAGUCUUGACAUCCCUUGACAGACAUAGAAAUAUGUAUUCUCUUCGGAGCAAGGAGACAGGUGGUGCAUGGUUGUCGUCAGCUCGUGUCGUGAGAUGUUGGGUUAAGUCCCGCAACGAGCGCAACCCUUAUGGUCAGUUACUACGCAAGAGGACUCUGGCCAGACUGCCGUUGACAAAACGGAGGAAGGUGGGGAUGACGUCAAAUCAUCAUGCCCCUUAUGACCUGGGCUACACACGUACUACAAUGGCAAUAGAACAGAGGGAAGCGACUCAGCGAUGAGAAGCAGAUCCCGAAAAAUUGUCUCAGUUCGGAUUGCAGGCUGCAACUCGCCUGCACGAAGUCGGAAUUGCUAGUAAUCGUGGAUCAGCAUGCCACGGUGAAUACGUUCCC